rnacentral:tRNA from 6 species
ACGUGUAGCCAGCACGGCUAUCUGCCCUCCGAAGGCAGGGGUUGCUGGUUCGAUCCCAGCCGGGCGCGCCA